GCUUUGCUUCGAGCGGGAGCUCAGGAAGCCGCGUCGUCGAAGGAUUUGUGAGUAACCGCGCUGCUAUUCGGCGACCAAAGAGACAAGGACGCAUGCAGAGAGCCGGGAUAAGGAGCGCUACCACUUCUUCCACUUCCAUCCUUCCACCUUCCUCCACUUUCCUCCUCCUUUUCCACCUCGUGCUCCCGUUCUUCCCCUACCCUCCCACCAUCAACACCAACACCGACAACCACUCACCACUACUAUCUCGAGGAAGAAAGAUCCUGGAAGGUUCCUCAUCGGAACGAGGGAGGCUCUCUGCACACCUACGACAGCCGGUGGUCGCAUCCGUGAGUCGGCACGGUAGGGAGAUGUCUCCCGGUCCUCCUCCAACCAGAAUAAGCGAGAGACAACGCCGCCGCCGCCGCCGUCGCCGCCGAAGAAUACGAAGACGAAGACGACGAAGACGACGACGACGACGACGACGAGCACGAUCACGACCAGGACCACGAGGAGGAAGAAGAAGAAGAAGAGGAAGAGGAAGAAGAGGAAGAAGAAGACGAAGAAGAAAUAGAGGAAGAAGAAGAAGAGGAAGAAGAAGAAGAAAAGAAGAAGAGGAAGAAGAAGAAGAAGAGGACGACCAGGACGAAGACAACGAGUACGACUUGCCGGGGACCUUUGGCGGUUACACACCGCGUCCUACCGUCCUCCGGUGUGCCUACCUAUUCGGGCUACCAGCGAUCCCGUCGACCAAACGGAGCUUCAGUCGACGCCGCGCAUCCAAACGGUCCAGACCUGUCAGCCCGGAAGAUAGCCGCGCACUAUCCCGAACACUUCUCUUAGACAACUAUCCUAUAUAUACAUAUAUAUAUCCAGAUCCUAUUAAGUCUUCAAUUUCUCAUCAAACUUUUAUCAACUUUUAAUUAUUUCCUAUUGCCUACUCGUGAAUCAUCGAGUACGUCUACGUCCCUUCAUACUCGCGAGUUUUUUUCGCGCUUUUUCCUUGGAACAUAGAACAUAGAGGGAGGGAGGGAGAGAAAGAGAGAGAGAGAGAGAGAGAGAGAGAGAGAAAGAGAAAAAAAUAGAACGUGUUCACGAGGAAGAAGAAAAUCCGAACCUCUUGAAGAAUCCUCUGGAUCGGUAGUAGCGUAGCUUGCUCACCGAAGACAACGAAGAAGACAACGAAGAGGAGGAAGAAGAAGAAGAAGUAGAAGAA